UUGCAGUUAAGAAGAGACUUAGCUCUUUUGAACAAUGUUGAAAAUGUCAAGACUAUGUGAACAUUUGAAGUCAGACUGCAUGCAUUUUGCAUUAGGAGACAAUCCUAAGCCUAUGAAGGCCAGAGACAGAAGUUACAGUUUGAGUGCAGACACCUCCCAUAGGAUUGUGUGCUCAGAUACUCAGUCACAGCUGAUGGUGCUGUUCUGGGAGAAGGAUGCGGACCUUUAAGAGACGGAGCCUCAUUUGAGGAAAUGGGUCUUCAAGGACUCCACUGAAGUGAAGAACUCGAUGCAUGGGCAGAUCCAUCGUCUCAGAGCACAUGAGCACAGAAUGUAUCCAAGUGGGAUUCUGAGAAGAAAUCCUACCAUGCAGAGGCCAAUCAAGCCAUGAUUUAAACCCAGGGAGGGAAGAAGAGAGAGGAGAGAAAUUGAAGGACAGACCAGCAUUGAGGUCUACAGUACCUGGACCAGCUAACAGGAGCCACGGGGGUUGGAAGUGGCGUCCAG